rnacentral:lncRNA from 1 species
CCAUACAACGUUUUGUGAAGAUAACAUUUAUAUAUACUUUGAAUUGGAAAAUAAAUAAUUCUAGAGGUUUACUCACUAUAAAAGUAAGUUAACAAAAAAUAUAUAACAUUCCAUUGCAUUAUUUUAUAAGAAACGAAAAUUUAUUGUAAAUAUUCACUCAUCCAUAAAUGUCUCACAAGACCUUGAACCCGCAACCACUUGAUUGACAAGAUCAAACAUUUCAAUUAAGCGCUGAUACCCUUAGGCCAAAGGGCUAAAAGAUAAUUUCACAUUGAGAUAGAAGCUGUAAGUUUGACAAUAGAAGAUGGCAUCAAUAAGCAACAUUAACCGUACCAAAUCUUGAGGAGAACAUACCUUGUAAAAGAUAUUUAUUUUAGACCUAUAUAUUAUAGUAGUUAAUGCAUAAGACUUCCAAAUAUUUAAUCUGGAAAAUGGGUAGCCAUUUUAUUAUCAAUGGAGAAGCUUAACGGGAUAAGUGCAAGGAUCACACCGCUUCACUUCUUCCUGUGAUCAAUAAAAAAACAAUCAUUCAAUCAGAAAAGUAAUAUAGUAGGGACGAACAAUUUUCAACAUAUAUAUACAAGUCAAAACUAUGUUGUUUCGAUGAAUAUGGGAUGAAUAUAAAUGAUUCUCUUCUUCUUGUACGCUACAUUGUCUAGAGUGAUUGUACGAAAGUUUAUAUGCAUAAACAAAAGAUUAACGUGACCAUGUUCACUAGCCAAGCCAAAAACUACGAUUAAUACACAUAAGUGUAUAAAAUGCUUAUACACAUACUCUGUGUGUGUGAGAGAGAGAGAGAGAGAGAGAGAGAGAGAGAGAGAGAGAGAGNNNNNNNNNNNNNNNNNNNNNNNNGAGAGAGAGAGAGAGAGAGAGAGAGAGAACUUAC